GAAACUCACAAUAUUACUCUUUCGGAGGAAGAUACUUUAUUUGGUGGUCUCGUGUCAAACCUUCAGGUGGCAGAACUAAUGGCGGUUAUGGCCAAAAACCGGAGCCUUUCAUACUGUAAAGUGGUUGAAGUUGUUGCAGAAACAACAGCACCGUUGACCCCCAUGGAGGACCUUCUUGCAAAAAUUCCCCCCCAACGUGUUGAGGUUUCCCCACCCAAGAAAUCUGCAACUCCAACCAGUAUUACGUCUGAGAUCCCUGAUGCCUUGCUCGAGAAAAAACCUUCUGAAACAAAGUUGAAAGCAGCAGCACCUCUCUCUCCAUAUACUGCUUAUGCAGAGCUUAAACCGCCUACAUCUCCUAGUCCGAUUCCUCCUGGUGGUCAUCAAGCAGGUGCAAGUGGAGCAGAAGAUAGCAAACCCACUAAAGAAGCCUCUUCUGUUGUUGAUUAUGCUUUUGACAAAGCAGAAUUGCUGA
rnacentral:misc_RNA from 1 species